UCGGAUUGUAGUCUGCAACCCGACUACAUGAAGCUGGAAUCGCUAGUAAUCGCGAAUCAGAAUGUCGCGGUGAAUACGUUCCCGGGUCUUGUACACACCGCCCGUCACACCAUGGGAGUCGGAUAUGCCCGAAGCCGGUGACCUAACCGCAAGGAAGGAGCCGUCGAAGGUGGAGCCGAUGACUGGGGUGAAGUCGUAACAAGGUAAC
rnacentral:rRNA from 1 species